CGAACGAUGAAGCCCAGCUUGCUGGGUGGAUUAGUGGCGAACGGGUGAGUAAUACGUGAGUAACCUGCCUUUAACUCUGGGAUAAGCCUUGGAAACGGGGUCUAAUACCGGAUACGACCAGUUCCCGCAUGGGAUGCUGGUGGAAAGGGAUUUUGUACUGGUUUUAGAUGGGCUCACGGCCUAUCAGCUUGUUGGUGAGGUAACGGCUCACCAAGGCGACGACGGGUAGCCGGCCUGAGAGGGUGACCGGCCACACUGGGACUGAGACACGGCCCAGACUCCUACGGGAGGCAGCAGUGGGGAAUAUUGCACAAUGGGCGCAAGCCUGAUGCAGCGACGCCGCGUGAGGGAUGACGGCCUUCGGGUUGUAAACCUCUUUCAGCAGGGGAGAAGCGAAAGUGACGGUACCUGCAGAAGAAGCGCCGGCUAACUACGUGCCAGCAGCCGCGGUAAUACGUAGGGCGCGAGCGUUGUCCGGAAUUAUUGGGCGUAAAGAGCUUGUAGGCGGUUUGUCGCGUCUGCUGUGAAAGCCCGGGGCUUAACCCCGGGUUUGCAGUGGGUACGGGCAGACUAGAGUGCAGUAGGGGAGACUGGAAUUCCUGGUGUAGCGGUGAAAUGCGCAGAUAUCAGGAGGAACACCAAUGGCGAAGGCAGGUCUCUGGGCUGUAACUGACGCUGAGAAGCGAAAGCAUGGGGAGCGAACAGGAUUAGAUACCCUGGUAGUCCAUGCCGUAAACGUUGGGCACUAGGUGUGGGGAACAUUCCACGUUUUCCGCGCCGUAGCUAACGCAUUAAGUGCCCCGCCUGGGGAGUACGGCCGCAAGGCUAAAACUCAAAGAAAUUGACGGGGGCCCGCACAAGCGGCGGAGCAUGCGGAUUAAUUCGAUGCAACGCGAAGAACCUUACCAAGGCUUGACAUAUACUGGACCGCACUAGAGAUAGUGUUUCCCUUCGGGGCUGGUAUACAGGUGGUGCAUGGUUGUCGUCAGCUCGUGUCGUGAGAUGUUGGGUUAAGUCCCGCAACGAGCGCAACCCUCGUUCUAUGUUGCCAGCACGUUAUGGUGGGGACUCAUAGGAGACUGCCGGGGUUAACUCGGAAGAAGGUUGGGGAUGACGUCAAAUCAUCAUGCCCCUUAUGUCUUGGGCUUCACGCAUGCUACAAUGGGCCGGGACCAAAGGGUUGCGAAUACUGUGGAGGUUGAGCUAAUCCC
rnacentral:rRNA from 1 species